rnacentral:rRNA from 1 species
CUAAUACAUGCAAGUCGAGCGAACGGACGAGAAGCUUGCUUCUCUUUAUGUUAGCGGCGGACGGGUGAGUAACACGUGGAUAACCUACCUAUAAGACUGGGAUAACUUCGGGAAACCGGAGCUAAUACCGGAUAAUAUUUUGAACCGCAUGGUUCAAAAGUGAAAGACGGUCUUGCUGUCACUUAUAGAUGGAUCCGCGCUGCAUUAGCUAGUUGGUAAGGUAACGGCUUACCAAGGCAACGAUGCAUAGCCGACCUGAGAGGGUGAUCGGCCACACUGGAACUGAGACACGGUCCAGACUCCUACGGGAGGCAGCAGUAGGGAAUCUUCCGCAAUGGGCGAAAGCCUGACGGAGCAACGCCGCGUGAGUGAUGAAGGUCUUCGGAUCGUAAAACUCUGUUAUUAGGGAAGAACAUAUGUGUAAGUAACUGUGC